UACGUAGGGUGCAAGCGUUAAUCGGAAUCACUGGGCUUAAAGCGUGUGUAGGCGGGUCGUUAAGUACCUUGUGAAAUCCCACGGCUCAACCGUGGAACGGCUGGGUAUACUGGCGAUCUUGGGCCAUCUAGGGGCAGCUGGAACAAGCGGUGGAGCGGUGAAAUGCGUAGAUAUCGUAAGGAAGACCAGUGGCGAAGGCGGGUCUCUGGACAGUUCCUGACGCUGAGGUGCGAAAGCGUGGGGAGCGAACAGG
rnacentral:rRNA from 1 species